AUUGAACGCUGGCGGCAGGCCUAACACAUGCAAGUCGAGCGGCGCGGCGGACGGGUGAGUACUGCCUAGGACUAUGCAUGGUAGUGGGGGAUGACGUCAGGAACCGGGCGCUAAUACUGAAUACUAUCAUAAGAGCAUAGGUCGGAUUAGCUAUUUGGUGGGGUAAAGGCACACCAAGGCGACGAUCCGUAACUGGUCUGAGAGGAUGAUCAGUCACACUGGAACUGAGACACGGUCCAGACUCCUACGUGAGGCAGCAGUGGGGAAUAUUGGACAAUGGGCGAAAGCCUGAUCCAGCCAUGCCGCGUGUGUGAAGAAGGUCUUCGGAUUGUAAAGUACUUUAAGUUGGGAGGCGUUACCAACAGAAUAAGCACCGGCUAACUCCGUGCCAGCAGCCGCGGUAAUUC
rnacentral:rRNA from 1 species